GGAGAGAUGGCAGAACGGCUUAUCGCACCGGGUUGCUAACUCGGAGGUCCCUCUUAAGGCGACCCAGGGGUUCGAAUCCCCUUCUCUCCG
rnacentral:tRNA from 1 species